AUUGAACGCUGGCGGCAGGCCUAACACAUGCAAGUCGAGCGGAUGAAGGGAGCUUGCUCCUGGAUUCAGCGGCGGACGGGUGAGUAAUGCCUAGGAAUCUGCCUGGUAGUGGGGGAUAACGUCCGGAAACGGGCGCUAAUACCGCAUACGUCCUGAGGGAGAAAGUGGGGGAUCUUCGGACCUCACGCUAUCAGAUGAGCCUAGGUCGGAUUAGCUAGUUGGUGGGGUAAAGGCCUACCAAGGCGACGAUCCGUAACUGGUCUGAGAGGAUGAUCAGUCACACUGGAACUGAGACACGGUCCAGACUCCUACGGGAGGCAGCAGUGGGGAAUAUUGGACAAUGGGCGAAAGCCUGAUCCAGCCAUGCCGCGUGUGUGAAGAAGGUCUUCGGAUUGUAAAGCACUUUAAGUUGGGAGGAAUGGCAGUAAGUUAAUACCUUGCUGUUUUGACGUUACCAACAGUAUAAGCACCGGCUAACUUCGUG
rnacentral:rRNA from 1 species